AGGUGUUACAGCUCUUCUAGAAUUUGUCUAGCAAGUUUUCCGGUCUCUAUGGGAAGACACAC
ensembl:snRNA U7 U7 small nuclear RNA